rnacentral:rRNA from 1 species
GUCUGAAACUGUUGAUCUAGAAUAUCAUAGGGGGUAGGGGAAUUUCACGUGUAGGGGUAAAAUCCGUAGAGAUGUGAAGGAACACCGGAGGCGAAGGCGCCUACCUGGAUGAUUAUUGACGCUGAGGCGCGAAAGCGUGGGGAGCAAACAGGAUUAGAUACCCUGGUAGUCCACGCCGUAAACGAUGAGUACUAGUUUUCAGAGGUAUUGACCCCUUUGGGAACGCAGCUAACGCAUUAAGUACUCCGCCUGGGAAGUACGGUCGCAAGACUAAAACUCAAAGGAAUUGACGGGGGCCCGCACAAGCGGUGGAUUAUGUGGUUUAAUUCGAAGCAACGCGCAGAACCUUACCUAGGCUUGAAAUCCUACGAAUUUGGGGUAAUUCCCGAAGUGCUCGCAAGAGAAUGUAGUGACAGGUGCUGCAUGGCUGUCGUCAGCUCGUGUUGUGAAAUGUUGGGUUAAGUCUCGCAACGAGCGCAACCCCUAUCUUUAGUUGCCAGCAUUCAGUUGGGCACUCUAGAGAGACUGCCCGGGUUAACCGGGAGGAAGGUGGGGAUGACGUCAAGUCCUCAUGGCCCUUAUGCCUAGGGCUACACACGUAAUACAAUGGUGCAUACAAUGGGAAGCGAUCAUGUGAAUGUUAGCAAAUCUCAAAAAGUGCAUCUCAGUCCGGAUUGGAGUCUGCAACUCGACUCCAUGAAGUUGGAAUCGCUAGUAAUCGUAGAUCAGCAUGCUACGGUGAAUACGUUCCCGGGCCUUGUACACACCGCCCGUCACACCAUGGGAGUUGUUUUCAUCUUAAGACGUGACUCUAACCUCGUGAGGAGAGCGUCUACGGUGGGAGCGAUGACUGGGGUGAAGUCGUAACAAGGUAGCCGUAGGGGAACCUGCGGCUG